rnacentral:rRNA from 1 species
CCUACGGGAGGCAGCAGUGGGGAAUAUUGCACAAUGGGGGAAACCCUGAUGCAGCGACGCCGCGUGAGUGAAGAAGUAAUUCGGGAGGUAAAGCUCUAUCAGCAGGGAAGAAAAUGACGGUACCUGAGUAAGAAGCCCCGGCUAACUACGGGCCAGCAGCCGCGGUAAUACGUAGGGGGCAAGCGUUCUCCGGAUUUACUGGUUGUAACGGGAGCGUAGACGGCAGUGCAAGUCUGGAGUGAAAGGCGGGGGCUCAACCCCCUGACUGCUCUGGAAACUGUCCGGCUGGAGUGCAGGAGAGGUAAGUGGAAUUCCUACUGUAGCGGUGAACUUCGUAGAUAUUAGGAGGCACACCAGUGGCGCAGGCGGCUUACUGGACUGUACCUGACGUUGAGGCUC